GGAAGCUGCAGAAGAAAUGUGGGAAACUAGCAGACGUUGGUUUAUGAGGUUUAAGGAAAGAAGCCUUCUCCAUAGCAUCAAAGUGCAAGGUGAAGCAGCAGGUGCGGAUAGAGAAGCUGCAGAACGCUAUCCAGAAGAUCUAGCUGAGAAAAUUGAUGAAGGUGGCUACGGUAAACAACAGGCUUUCAGUGUAGACAAAACAAUGUUCCAUUGGAAGGAGAUGCCAUCUAGGACUUUCAUAGCUAGAGAGCAGAAAUCAAUGCCUGACUUCAAAGCUGCAAAGGACAGGCUGCUUCUCAUUAGGGGCUAAUGCAGCUGGCGUUUUUAAGUUGAAGCCAAUGCUUAUUGAUCAUUCUGAAAAUCCGAGGGCCCUUAAGGACUAUGCUAAAUCUACUCUCCCUGGGCUCUAUAUAUGGAACAACAAAACCUGGAUAACAGCACAUCUGUUUAUAGCAAGGCUUACUGAAUAUUUUAAAACCAAUAUUAAGACCUGCUCAGAAAAAAGAUUCCUUUCAAAAUAUUGCUGCUCAUUGACAAUCUACCUAGUCACCCAAGAGCUUGAUGGAGAUGUGCAAAGAAAUGAAUCUUGUUUUCAUGCCUGACAACACAAUAUUCAUUCUGCAGCCCAUAGAUCAAGGGGUAAUUUUGACUUUCAAGUAUUAUUAUUUAAGAAAUACAUUUUGUAAGGCUAUAACUGCCAUAGACAGUGAUGGUGUCAGAGGUGCUGA